UCCGGCUUAUCACCGGCAGUCCCACUAGAGUGCCCAACUAAAUGCUGGCAACUAAUGGCGAGGGUUGCGCUCGUUGCGGGACUUAACCCGACAUCUCACGACACGAGCUGACGACAGCCAUGCAGCACCUGUGUUACGGCUCCCUUUCGGGCACACCUCCAUCUCCGGAGGCUUCCGUACAUGUCAAGGGUAGGUAAGGUUUUUCGCGUUGCAUCGAAUUAAUCCACAUAAUCCACCGCUUGUGCGGGUCCCCGUCAAUUCCUUUGAGUUUUAACCUUGCGGCCGUACUCCCCAGGCGGUCAACUUCACGCGUUAGCUUCGGCACGGAGAACGUGGAAUGUUCCCCACACCUAGUGCCCACCGUUUACGGCGUGGACUAC
rnacentral:misc_RNA from 1 species